rnacentral:rRNA from 1 species
AUACGUAUGGGGCAAGCGUUAUCCGGAUUUACUGGGUGUAAAGGGAGUGUAGGCGGUACGGCAAGUCAGAAGUGAAAGCCUGGGGCUCAACCCCGGAAUUGCUUUUGAAACUGUCGAACUAGAGUGUCGGAGGGGUAAGCGGAAUUCCUAGUGUAGCGGUGAAAUGCGUAGAUAUUAGGAGGAACACCAGUGGCGAAGGCGGCUUACUGGACGACUACUGACGCUGAGGCUCGAAAGCGUGGGGAGCAAACAGGAUUAGAUACCCUGGUAGUCCACGCUGUAAACGAUGAAUACUAGGUGUGGGGGGACUGACCCCCUCCGUGCCGCAGUUAACACAAUAAGUAUUCCACCUGGGGAGUACGAUCGCAAGAUUGAAACUCAAAGGAAUUGACGGGG